GACGAACGCUGGCGGCGUGCUUAACACAUGCAAGUCGAACGGAGAACUUUCUUCGGAAUGUUCUUAGUGGCGAACGGGUGAGUAACGCGUAGGCAACCUGCCCUCUGGUUGGGGACAACAUUCCGAAAGGGAUGCUAAUACCGAAUGAGAUCCUCUUUCCGCAUGGAGAGAGGAUGAAAGAUGGCCUCUACUUGUAAGCUAUCGCCAGAAGAUGGGCCUGCGUCUGAUUAGCUUGUAGGUGAGGUAACGGCUCACCUAGGCGAUGAUCAGUAGCCGGUCUGAGAGGAUGAACGGCCACAUUGGGACUGAGACACGGCCCAAACUCCUACGGGAGGCAGCAGUGGGGAAUCUUCCGCAAUGGACGAAAGUCUGACGGAGCAACGCCGCGUGAGUGAUGAAGGCCUUCGGGUUGUAAAACUCUGUUGUCAGGGACGAAAGCACCGAUCUAUAAUACAUUUUGGUGUUGACGGUACCUGACGAGGAAGCCACGGCUAACUACGUG
rnacentral:rRNA from 1 species